ACGCUAGCUACAGGCUUAACACAUGCAAGUCGAGGGGCAGCAUGGUCUUAGCUUGCUAAGGCCGAUGGCGACCGGCGCACGGGUGAGUAACACGUAUCCAACCUGCCGUCUACUCUUGGACAGCCUUCUGAAAGGAAGAUUAAUACAAGAUGGCAUCAUGAGUCCGCAUGUUCACAUGAUUAAAGGUAUUCCGGUAGACGAUGGGGAUGCGUUCCAUUAGAUAGUAGGCGGGGUAACGGCCCACCUAGUCUUCGAUGGAUAGGGGUUCUGAGAGGAAGGUCCCCCACAUUGGAACUGAGACACGGUCCAAACUCCUACGGGAGGCAGCAGUGAGGAAUAUUGGUCAAUGGGCGAGAGCCUGAACCAGCCAAGUAGCGUGAAGGAUGACUGCCCUAUGGGUUGUAAACUUCUUUUAUAAAGGAAUAAAGUCGGGUAUGGAUACCCGUUUGCAUGUACUUUAUGAAUAAGGAUCGGCUAACUCCGUGCCAGCAGCCGCGGUAAUACGGAGGAUCCGAGCGUUAUCCGGAUUUAUUGGGUUUAAAGGGAGCGUAGAUGGAUGUUUAAGUCAGUUGUGAAAGUUUGCGGCUCAACCGUAAAAUUGCAGUUGAUACUGGAUAUCUUGAGUGCAGUUGAGGCAGGCGGAAUUCGUGGUGUAGCGGUGAAAUGCUUAGAUAUCACGAAGAACUCCGAUUGCGAAGGCAGCCUGCUAAGCUGCAACUGACAUUGAGGCUCGAAAGUGUGGGUAUCAAACAGGAUUAGAUACCCUGGUAGUCCACACGGUAAACGAUGAAUACUCGCUGUUUGCGAUAUACUGCAAGCGGCCAAGCGAAAGCGUUAAGUAUUCCACCUGGGGAGUACGCCGGCAACGGUGAAACUCAAAGGAAUUGACGGGGGCCCGCACAAGCGGAGGAACAUGUGGUUUAAUUCGAUGAUACGCGAGGAACCUUACCCGGGCUUAAAUUGCAGAUGAAUUACGGUGAAAGCCGUAAGCCGCAAGGCAUCUGUGAAGGUGCUGCAUGGUUGUCGUCAGCUCGUGCCGUGAGGUGUCGGCUUAAGUGCCAUAACGAGCGCAACCCUUGUUGUCAGUUACUAACAGGUUCCGCUGAGGACUCUGACAAGACUGCCAUCGUAAGAUGUGAGGAAGGUGGGGAUGACGUCAAAUCAGCACGGCCCUUACGUCCGGGGCUACACACGUGUUACAAUGGGGGGUACAGAGGGCCGCUACCACGCGAGUGGAUGCCAAUCCCCAAAACCUCUCUCAGUUCGGACUGGAGUCUGCAACCCGACUCCACGAAGCUGGAUUCGCUAGUAAUCGCGCAUCAGCCACGGCGCGGUGAAUACGUUCCCGGGCCUUGUACACACCGCCCGUCAAGCCAUGGGAGCCGGGGGUACCUGAAGUGCGUAACCGCGAGGAGCGCCCUAGGGUAAAACUGGUGACUGGGGCUAAG
rnacentral:rRNA from 1 species